UGUUUUGAAUCGAUUGUGCCUGAAUCAGAAAAUCAGAUAGAUCAUGAUCCAUUGCCAUCACCUUCUAGCUCGACAUUAACUCCUGUUUUAAUAUUACAUGAUGUCAAGGAACCAGAUCCAAAUAAAGGGAUCAAAGUUGAUGAGACAUAUGAUUAUCUCCCACAAGACUAUACAUUGACCGACCAUGAUCUAUGUGCUCAUAUAGCAAUAGAAUCAUCUUUGAGUAAACAAUUGCUCGUGGAGAUAGAUGGAAGUUGUGUCUUGCAAAAUCAAUUGAUGUGCCUGCUAAAUGAAAAGGAGUGGAUAAAUGAUGAUGUGAUCAAUGCAUAUAUAUGUUGUAUAAAGGACCAAAUACAUCUCCAGAAUGAUAAUAAAGUAUAUUUUGAGAGUCCAUUUGUUACCUCACUAUUUAAACGAGAUGGCGAACUUGGAAUACAAAAAGAUAGUGCCUUCAUGACAGAGACUGUCGUCGAAUAUAUGCAACAUGACAUGCAACACACAUUGGUAUUUAACUGUUGUGAAUACAAAAAAAUGGAGGUUCAAGUACUGGACUCAUUGUGCUGGGACUUUGACCGUGAUGAUCUCGCUCAUACGCUACGAGGAGUACAAUUUCAUUUGGACCUUCUUAAAAGUCAAAACUUGGUAAAAGACAAU
rnacentral:rRNA from 1 species